rnacentral:rRNA from 1 species
GAUGAACGCUAGCUACAGGCUUAACACAUGCAAGUCGAGGGCAGCAUUAGGUAGCAAUACUGAGGUGGCGACCGGCGCACGGGUGCGUAACGCGUAUCCAACCUUCCCGAUACUCUUGGAUAAGCCUUCCGAAAGGGAGAUUAAUACAAGAUGGUGUUUCACUUUCGCAUGUUAUUGAAACUAAAGAUUUAUCGGUAACGGAUGGGGAUGCGUGACAUUAGAUAGUAGGCGGGGUAACGGCCCACCUAGUCUACGAUGUCUAGGGGUUCUGAGAGGAAGGUCCCCCACACUGGAACUGAGACACGGUCCAGACUCCUACGGGAGGCAGCAGUGAGGAAUAUUGGUCAAUGGUCGGAAGACUGAACCAGCCAAGUAGCGUGAAGGAUGAAGGUUCUAUGGAUUGUAAACUUCUUUUAUACGGGAAUAAAACCUCCCACGUGUGGGAGCUUGUAUGUACCGUAUGAAUAAGCAUCGGCUAACUCCGUG